CCAGGUCCUUCUGACAGCUGACCACGUGCUCUACCCACUCGGCCAUGCUGAGGUUCCCGCCGAUCCACCGCGUCCUGGCUCCGGACCAGCUCCACCUCUCCGGGUCAGUGCGGGCCCUUCCUGCACCCACAUCUGGAGGAGAGCAAGUGACAAUGGGAAAGCAGCAUGGACAACUGCAGUACAGCUUGCACGUGGACAGCAGGGAGCAGACGGAUCCUUAGGAGCUUCGGACCAACUACACGACCGUUGGGCUGAUUCCAGCCUGUGUGUUGAGAGCCCGGUGCCCUGGGCUCAACCUGUGCGCCUCCCCAGUCCUCAAGUCCUGCAAUACCUGCACUCUGUCCUCUUCCUUUCCCUGACAUGACGGUUUCUUUUGGCCUCCAACACUGCCAUUCUCUGAAACUGUGGUUUUGGGUUUGGG